UGGAUUUGAAUUAGAACGAUAGAGAUUAUUAACACCAAAAUAUUAUCAAAUCAAAUGCACUUAUCACUAAAUUCUGAUUCCAAUGAAUAAAACUCAGCUGACGGUUUUGUCAAACAAUGGUGGAGUUUAGAUAAAGAAGUUUUCUUGCCACUAUUGUAUCACGAAAUGUACAGCCACAAUACACCAACUGAAAUCACAAAACUGUUAAAAACGUAAAGAGAGAUAAGGAAAGAAUAUGAUACGCAGAGAUUUGGUAAGGAAGUUCCCC
rnacentral:lncRNA from 1 species